GAUCAUGGCUCAGGAUGAACGCUAGCUACAGGCUUAACACAUGCAAGUCGAGGGGCAGCAUGAAGUCAGCUUGCUGACUUUGAUGGCGACCGGCGCACGGGUGAGUAACGCGUAUCCAACCUGCCCCAUACUCGGGAACAGCCCUCCGAAAGGAGGAUUAAUGCCCGAUGUGGUCCAUAGAGGGCAUCUGAUGUGGACUAAAGAUUCAUCGGUAUGGGAUGGGG
rnacentral:rRNA from 1 species